rnacentral:rRNA from 1 species
GACGAACGCUGGCGGCGCGCCUAACACAUGCAAGUCGAACGAGCGAGAGAGAGCUUGCUUUCUUGAGCGAGUGGCGAACGGGUGAGUAACGCGUGAGGAACCUGCCUCAAAGAGGGGGACAACAGUUGGAAACGACUGCUAAUACCGCAUAAGCCCACGGUGCCGCCUGGCACAGAGGGAAAAGGAGCAAUCCGCUUUGAGAUGGCCUCGCGUCCGAUUAGCUAGUUGGUGAGGUAACGGCCCACCAAGGCGACGAUCGGUAGCCGGACUGAGAGGUUGAACGGCCACAUUGGGACUGAGACACGGCCCAGACUCCUACGGGAGGCAGCAGUGGGGAAUAUUGCACAAUGGGGGAAACCCUGAUGCAGCGACGCCGCGUGGAGGAAGAAGGUCUUCGGAUUGUAAACUCCUGUUGUUGGGGAAGAUAAUGACGGUACCCAACAAGGAAGUGACGGCUAACUACGUG